rnacentral:rRNA from 1 species
GAUCAUGGCUCAGGAUGAACGCUGGCGGCGUGCUUAACACAUGCAAGUCGAACGGAACUCCUAUGAUUGAGGUUUCGGCCAAAAGAAUAGGAUGCUUAGUGGCGGACUGGUGAGUAACGCGUGAGGAACCUGCCUUUCAGAGGGGGACAACAGUUGGAAACGACUGCUAAUACCGCAUGAUGCGUAACUGGGACAUCCCGGAUACGCCAAAGAUUUUAUCGCUGAAAGAUGG